GGCAGCGUGGUGUAGUGGUUUGCGUCUUGGACUAUGACCCAGGAGGCCUGUGUUCGAGUGCCGGCACAGCCA